GCGGGUGUAGCUCAGGGGUAGAGCACAACCUUGCCAAGGUUGGGGUCGAGGGUUCGAAUUCCUUCGCCCGCUCCA
rnacentral:tRNA from 1 species